rnacentral:rRNA from 1 species
UACGGAGGAUCCGAGCGUUAUCCGGAUUUAUUGGGUUUAAAGGGUGCGUAGGCGGUUUGAUAAGUUAGAGGUGAAAUGUCGGGGCUCGACCCCGAAACUGCCUCUAAUACUGUUGGACUAGAGAAUAGUUGCGGUAGGCGGAAUGUAUGGUGUAGCGGUGAAAUGCUUAGAGAUCAUACAGAACACCGAUUGCGAAGGCAGCUUACCAAACUAUAUCUGACGUUGAGGCACGAAAGCGUGGGUAGCAAACAGG